rnacentral:lncRNA from 1 species
ACGUUCACGCUUUCUUCAGAGAACCCAUCAUGCUGUGCUUCGUCCAAGGUUUUCACACGAAGGAUGACUCGAAGACGCGGCGUAGUAAAAGUGUGUAACAACUGGUACAUCUUGUAUAUGAAGAUGAGAGGAAACACCGAUGAUGUUCAAGGCGCGAUAAGACCGAGCGCGAUUCCGGUAUGAGCAUCUCGCGUUUCUCUCUUUAUCUCCUUUUGUAAUUUUAAUUUUCUCUGUCUUUUAGCAAAUUAAAACUCAAUCUUUGUACAGUUAUUCGGAAAUCGCAAGCGUAUGCAUUGAUUCACGUAACGAAAAAUUUCUUUUUUAUUGCUGGAUCAAGCAAUCUUCAGUCUCCUUCAGUCAGUUCAGAAUUUUAGUUUCAGAUUUAACGUAGUUCAAAUUCAAGAGAAAUAUGAAUUAAAUCAAUAAGAAAUCAAAAUUUAAUUUUUUUCUUUUGAUUUACUAUUAUAAAAAUAGAUUAAAUAAAAUUAAAUGUAUUAAAAAUAUAUUAAAAUUAUAAUACAAUUAAAAAUAUAUAUUAAAAACACAAUAGAUUAUAUUAAAUGUCCGGCAAUCUUGAUGCUAGAAGUGUCUAUAUUUAUCUACAUUUUUCGUAGCGCACAAUUAUUAUUUCAUAUUUGCAUAUAAUGACAACUGAGAUUUGACUGAUAGUUGUAAAUAGUAUGUUUAUAAAGUCUGAUUUAGACGGGAGUUCGUAAGAACAACGAUCGCAAAAAGUCUUGCGUGACGAACAUUACGGCGUUACAUGAUCGGCGACUAGUAAGGACGGACCCGCGUGCUUCUAAUUAAUCGCAGGAAACAAGGAAAAAUAACAGCGUCGCAGCCAGUGUUCUAAUAAAAAGCGAACUCACCAGCGUAUUUUCGCUACGGUAUCUAAUUUCUAAUUUCGACAUGACUCGGUAGUGAAUAGUCCACCACUGUACGUCGAACUGUCCACACGUCGCGAAUAAUGAUGCGAUGAUCCAGCAUUGCAGCAACAAUCUUCUAAUUGAUACAAUUGGUCCAAUCGUGAGUAGUUGCAAAUGAUUUUUUUCACUGAGUGCAGCAAGAAAAUGAUUAUUUUCUAUUUAUUUAAUCUGUACACACAGAGUGUGUCAAGCCAGCAAUUGUCGCACUCGUUGACAACUUCUUUGAUGCUUUCAACUUAAUAAUUUUUCAUAUGAAAACAUCGAGGCUAAAUUGAUGAAAAAAUAUAAAAUUAAAUAGUCCGUUCGAUAAUUUUCGAUAUACUGCUUUGAGACUCGAUUAGCUCGGAACUGUGAAUAUUUAAUAAUCUCGUGUUAUUUUUGGAUUCACACAUUGAAUUGCAGAAUAGAUUCCUGUUUGGCGCAAUUCGGAACACGUUAUGUUCCCUGAGUUCUACACCGUCUCGAUUGGGCAGUAUUGAUGAUUGGGAUAUCCGCUUCAUGAAGGAUCGAAUCUCGCUUCGGUCGUGUAACCCGAAAUAACGUACGGUAGUUUUACUCGGCCGUGGAACGGUCGCGACUGGACCGUUAUGGUUACGCGGCACUCAACGAUUUGGGCUUGGUAUUUUCAUUAAGUAUGUUUGGAACAUAGCGAGGAUGCUUUUAUUCAAGCACAUCAUUACCAUCGGUCGUAUGUGGGAGCAUUGAGGCUAAACGAUGUCGAGUCAGACUAGUUGAUGGAAAUCAGUUAUCAGUAAUCAUAUCACGAACUACUAACAUCGGCGAGCUUUAUGGAUUCACUUUACUUUAUGGGCCUUUAUGAAUCAUCCUUUUAUCCAUCAUAAUUAGAUGUUAUUUGCUCAAAUUUUCAUCAUUUCAUCAUUUUUAUUUUAUUCAUUAUAUUCUAGCUGUUCAUAUUCUUUCUUUAUUUCUGCUUUCACGAGAUUUGAAUGCGCAAAACCAUUCUUUCUUUGUUAGAAUGUUUUUCUUAAUGUUUAAAUUUCACAUUAAACCUCUCUUCCUCUCUUUGCGGAUCUGUUCCCCUCGUGCACACAAUGUCACGACUCUCUCCUGUGAUUUCAUCUUUUAUAUCUUCUUUUGACGUAGAAACUGUUGAAGAUUACUCCCGUAAUUCCCGUAAUUUCCCGUAAUGAUGGAUUUUUCAUCGAGAUCGUCGCAUCUGCGAUGCCUGCGAUUUCUAGGGUUAAUCAACGUCGGCGGUCUGAAAGCACAGAGAAGAGAGAAGUACCGCUAAGCUUCUCGGCCGCACGAGCUCGUAGAACGACGACCUCGCGGAGCCGGCGCGGAGUCUCGUCCGUUCGCUCGCGAACGCAGUAGCAGCUGCCGUCGCCGGUUCGUUUUCACAUCGCGUUCACGUGGCUCGCUUAUUCAGCCGGUCGUCGCGUGUAUACCGCGAUCGCCGUAACUUCCGUGCUCCAGAUCACGCUUCAUUCACGGGUCACGACCGCCGAAAUUUCGAGCCCUCGCGAAAAUUGUAAAAACCAGAAGCGAAAAUUCCCUCAUAAAUUAGUCAAGCUACAAAGACUCGUUAUUGUACGAGACCGUUGUUGUUAUUUCGUUUAUCUUUCGCGAAAAGCGUUUAUUGCGAAUUUUACAUACAGUAGCGUGCCCGUCACAGAGACUUACAUCGCAAAGAAAAACACGUAAUACGCUGCUUCGUCUCAAUCACGGAUGCAAUGUAAUUUUGUAGUGGAUAUUUCCGCGCAGUUCCGCGGAAAAUUGACGUGAUGCGGCUAAAUGUAAAGUCGGGACUAAAAUAGAAUUUAAUUGUAUGUUUAUAUAUAGUCUAUAGAUAGUGCAGACAUUCGAGAGAGUGAUUUAUAAUGUGUGAUGCAUUCAAAAGAAUUCCCAUAAAUUGUCGAUUGGAUACGAAUCUAACAUCUGAAGAAAUAGAAAUAUGAACGUAUUACAAUUCGUUUAUGCUUCGUUCGUAUUGCACUUUUGUUUUUCUUGCAGCUCGGAGAAUACAAAGAAUAUAAAUCCAAAAUAGUUAAGAAAUUGCGAAUUGUUCGAUUGUAAACUGUGUUCAACUUUGUUAACAUAGUUUGAAGGAGAUUUGCUUGCACUCAUCUCUUCUCGUUUUGCUUUUCUUGUCGAAGAAAGAUCGGAACUAUAGAUUUCUCGAAUCUAACAAAGGUAAAAACGUACUAGAGACAUUCUAUGAUUUAUGAACGGAUCGCGGUUUGACCUACUACUCUUCUUUUCGCAAGGCCGCUUGUCGGACGGUAUGUUGGUCCAGCUGACAAUCUAAUCUGCUAUCGACGGGUUUUAAUGCGUUUUCCACAUCAUCCAUUCCGAAAACUUUCUGCCACGGGGCGAUCUUAACUGCGCUUGACCUCUUUACUCAUCCUUAUUCAGUGUCCUUCUCUGUCUCGCUUCGAUUAUCUCUCGUUUAUUUUUCUACGUUUAACAAGCCUGCCGAGUGCUGUGCCAAGAUUCUAGUGACGUACGUAUUCGAGGACGAUCAUGAUUUUAUUGGCACUUCAAGGUUUUGCAAAAUAUUCAAAGAGAGUCAUAUAGAGUGCCAAAUGAUACAUUCUGGCUUAUGUUAGAGCGUUCUUUCGAUUCUUUGCAUUUUUCUGAAAGGUUUAUUAUCUUCCUAACUUGCCAAAGUAAAAUGCGAUCAAGUUCUCAUUUUUAAUUUUUUUUCAGUCGGUUCUACAAAAUAUUUAAAGAUCUCUAAAGGUGAUUUAAAAUUUCAUGAUUUUGAAGUAAUUUUCCCUUGAAACACAAAAUUUAGGAUCAUUAUCAAAUUAGUCCUACUUCUUUGACAAGAUGUAUUCAGGGGUUGGCCAAACUAGGACUAAUUGGGGCAGGAAGCAAAGAGACGGAUAGUGCAAGGUAAUGAAAAAA